CUAACGGUUCUUCUUAGAACCAAACAGGUAAACCAGUGCAAAAUA
rfam:Soboliphyme baturini genome assembly, scaffold: SBAD_scaffold0009269